AUGACGGUUAUAAGCUGGAACUGCCGGGGCCUAGGACAGCCUCGGACAGUUCAAGAGCUCGUGUGCCUAGUGCGCACAUACCGUCCGUCUUUAGUUUUUAUUUCGGAAACUAGGAAAAGCGAGGAUUAUGUCAAUAAACUGCGUAGGAGACUUGGUCUCAGGCACUGCAUCUCCCAUGUUGGGAAAGGCAAGGGUGCAGGUAUAGCUCUCUUCUAUGAUGAGCAAGUGGAAAUA
rnacentral:rRNA from 1 species